rnacentral:rRNA from 1 species
AUUGAACGCUGGCGGCAUGCUUUACACAUGCAAGUCGAACGGUAACAGGCCGCAAGGUGCUGACGAGUGGCGAACGGGUGAGUAAUGCAUCGGAGCGUGCCCAGUCGUGGGGGAUAACUACUCGAAAGAGUAGCUAAUACCGCAUACGAUCUAUGGAUGAAAGCGGGGGACCGUAAGGCCUCGCGCGAUUGGAGCGGCCGAUGUCAGAUUAGGUAGUUGGUGGGGUAAAGGCUCACCAAGCCAACGAUCUGUAGCUGGUCUGAGAGGACAACCAGCCACACUGGGACUGAGACACGGCCCAGACUCCUACGGGAGGCAGCAGUGGGGAAUUUUGGACAAUGGGCGCAAGCCUGAUCCAGCAAUGCCGCGUGCAGGAAGAAGGCCUUCGGGUUGUAAACUGCUUUUGUACGGAACGAAACGGCUCUGGUUAAUACCCGGGGCUAAUGACGGUACCGUAAGAAUAAGCACCGGCUAACUACGUG